rnacentral:rRNA from 1 species
GACGAACGCUGGCGGCGUGCUUAACACAUGCAAGUCGAACGGAAAGGCCCUGCUUUUGUGGGGUGCUCGAGUGGCGAACGGGUGAGUAACACGUGAGUAACCUGCCCUUGACUUUGGGAUAACUUCAGGAAACUGGGGCUAAUACCGGAUAGGAGCUCCUGCUGCAUGGUGGGGGUUGGAAAGUUUCGGCGGUUGGGGAUGGACUCGCGGCUUAUCAGCUUGUUGGUGGGGUAGUGGCUUACCAAGGCUUUGACGGGUAGCCGGCCUGAGAGGGUGACCGGCAACAUUGGGCCGGAGAUACGGCCCAGACUCCUACGGGAGGCAGCAGUGGGGAAUAUUGCACAAUGGGCGGAAGCCUGAUGCAGCAACGCCGCGUGCGGGAUGACGGCCUUCGGGUUGUAAACCGCUUUCGCCUGUGACGAAGCGGGAGUGACGGUAAUGGGUAAAGAAGCACCGGCUAACUACGUG